CUGCAUUCUUAAACCCUCUUGGUAGCUUUCCUGAAAAUGCUUCCAAGAUAUGAGUGAAUGCUAUAGAGAAAUUGCAGGGGAGUCCAAAGGGCUGCGCUUCACCUGUGGCUCAGUCUUAUUUCAUACCUGCGACAUCU